AGAGUUUGAUCCUGGCUCAGAAUGAACGCUGGCGGCGUGCUUAACACAUGCCAGUCGCGCGAGAAAGUUGGCUUCGGCCGGCGAGUACAGCGGCGGACGGGUGCGUAACACGUGGGUAAUCUGCCUGGGUGUGGGGGACAACUUGGGGAAACUCGAGCUAAUACCGCAUACGCUCCGAGGGCCACGGCCCGAGGAGGAAAGCUGGCCUCUUCUUGAAAGCUAGCGCUCCCAGAGGAACCCGCGCUCGAUUAGCUUGUUGGUGGGGUAACGGCCUACCAAGGCGACGAUCGAUAGCCGGCCUGAGAGGGUGAUCGGCCACAUUGGGACUGAGACACGGCCCAGACUCCUACGGGAGGCAGCAGUGGGGAAUUUUGGGCAAUGGGGGAAAACCCUGACCCAGCGACGCCGCGUGGGGGAUGAAGGUCUUCGGAUUGUAAACCCCUGUCAGGUGGGAAGAAGGAUAUAUUGGUUAAUACCCAGUAUAUUUUGACGGUACCACCAAAGGAAGCCCCGGCUAACCCCGUGCCAGCAGCCGCGGUAAUACGGAGGGGGCGAGCGUUAUUCGGAUUUACUGGGCGUAAAGCGCACGUAGGUGGCGAGAUAAGUCAAAGGUGAAAGCCCUCGGCUCAACCGAGGAACUGCCUUUGAAACUGUUUUGCUUGAGUUCAGGAGGGGGGAGCGGAAUUCCUAGUGUAGCGGUGAAAUGCGUAGAUACUAGUAGGAACACCGGUGGCGAAGGCGGCUCCCUGGACUGAUACUGACACUGAGGUGCGAAAGCGUGGGUAGCAAACAGGAUUAGAUACCCUGGUAGUCCACGCCGUAAACGAUGGGUACUAGGUGCAGCGGGUGUCGACCCCUGCUGUGCCGAAGCUACGCAUUAAGUACCCCGCCUGGGGAGUACGGUCGCAAGAU
rnacentral:rRNA from 1 species